rnacentral:rRNA from 1 species
GGGUUUUUGAUGGAGGGUUUGAUCCUGGCUCAGGACGAACGCUGGCGGCGUGCUUAACACAUGCAAGUCGAACGGUAAGGCUCCAGCUUGCUGGGGUACACGAGUGGCGAACGGGUGAGUAACACGUGGGUGACCUGCCCUGCACUUCGGGAUAAGCCUGGGAAACUGGGUCUAAUACCGGAUAGGACCGCACCGUGAGGGUGUGGUGGAAAGUUUUUUCGGUGUGGGAUGGGCCCGCGGCCUAUCAGCUUGUUGGUGGGGUAAUGGCCUACCAAGGCGGCGACGGGUAGCCGGCCUGAGAGGGUGGACGGCCACAUUGGGACUGAGACACGGCCCAGACUCCUACGGGAGGCAGCAGUGGGGAAUAUUGCACAAUGGGCGGAAGCCUGAUGCAGCGACGCCGCGUGGGGGAUGACGGCCUUCGGGUUGUAAACUCCUUUCACCAUCGACGAAGGGUUUCUGACGGUAGAUGGAGAAGAAGCACCGGCUAACUACGUGCCAGCAGCCGCGGUAAUACGUAGGGUGCGAGCGUUGUCCGGAAUUACUGGGCGUAAAGAGCUCGUAGGUGGUUUGUCGCGUCGUCUGUGAAAUUCCGGGGCUUAACUCCGGGCGUGCAGGCGAUACGGGCAUAACUUGAGUACUGUAGGGGAGACUGGAAUUCCUGGUGUAGCGGUGAAAUGCGCAGAUAUCAGGAGGAACACCGGUGGCGAAGGCGGGUCUCUGGGCAGUAACUGACGCUGAGGAGCGAAAGCAUGGGGAGCGAACAGGAUUAGAUACCCUGGUAGUCCAUGCCGUAAACGGUGGGCGCUAGGUGUGGGUUUCCUUCCACGGGAUCCGUGCCGUAGCUAACGCAUUAAGCGCCCCGCCUGGGGAGUACGGCCGCAAGGCUAAAACUCAAAGGAAUUGACGGGGGCCCGCACAAGCGGCGGAGCAUGUGGAUUAAUUCGAUGCAACGCGAAGAACCUUACCUGGGCUUGACAUAUACAGGAUCGCGCCAGAGAUGGUGUUUCCCUUGUGGCUUGUAUACAGGUGGUGCAUGGUUGUCGUCAGCUCGUGUCGUGAGAUGUUGGGUUAAGUCCCGCAACGAGCGCAACCCUUGUCUUAUGUUGCCAGCACGUUGUGGUGGGGACUCGUAAGAAACUGCCGGGGUUAACUCGGAGGAAGGUGGGGAUGACGUCAAAUCAUCAUGCCCCUUAUGUCCAGGGCUUCACACAUGCUACAAUGGUCGGUACAGUGGGUUGCCAGUCCGUGAGGGCGAGCUAAUCCCGCAAAGCCGGUCUCAGUUCGGAUCGGGGUCUGCAACUCGACCCCGUGAAGUCGGAGUCGCUAGUAAUCGCAGAUCAGCAACGCUGCGGUGAAUACGUUCCCGGGCCUUGUACACACCGCCCGUCACGUCAUGAAAGUCGGUAACACCCGAAGCCAGUGGCCUAA